rnacentral:rRNA from 1 species
UACGUAGGGUGCGAGCGUUAAUCGAAGAUUACUGGGCGUAAAGCGUGCGCAGGCGGUUUUGCAAGCCGGAUGUGAAAUCCCCGGGCUUAACCUGGGAAUGGCAUUUGGGACUGCAAGGCUGGAGUGCGGCAGAGGAGACUGGAAUUCCUGGUGUAGCAGUGAAAUGCGUAGAUAUCAGGAGGAAUACCGAUGGCGAAGGCAGGUCUCUGGGCUGACACUGACGCUCAUGCACGAAAGCGUGGGGAGCAA